rnacentral:lncRNA from 1 species
AUAUUAUUAUGUCUACUUUUCCCUUCUUUUUGAUUAUAACAAAGGGGGAGAAGAUGUAUGUAUAUGUGUUGUGCUUGGAUUGUUUAAUGCAGGGGGAGUUUUGUAUGUGAUCAUCUCUAAGACGAUAUGGGGAGUAUGAGUUCAAACUCUAUUUGGCUGUCAUCAUCAAAAAGGGGGAGAAUGUGAAGACAAGCCUCCUACAAGGUUUUGAUGAAGACAAC